CUUUCCCAUCCUGAGAUGACAGCUCUAGAUGUUUAAAACCAACAGAAACCUGUCCCAGAGUAACCACUGUCCAUCCUACCAUUCUCACGACACAGAAUGAAGACAUUGUGUGAGGACCGGAGCUGCUGCAGCUACCUUGCAACCACAUAAAGCAACACUGCCAAUACAUUGAGGACUGCAGAGCAGGAGGAAGGAUUCUUGCUACAAUUGGUCACCUGCUAAGCCAACUGAACUUCUUGCUAAGUGGGGAAAUAAAUAUCUUUACUGUAUAAGCUA